ACCCCAAACCUGAAAGAUAAAACAAAGGAGGGAGGGCUGGCGCCACCCCUCCCCUGACCCUCUCAAUUCCCGCUGGUGCCAGUUCUAGAAAAUGAGGCCCUUUCCGAGAAGCCACCUCUGAUUCAAGUGAAGCUUGGUUACUUCAUAAUGGAUUAUGCUACAACUCGCUCUGGUUGCUAAUAAGUCACUAUGAAUUAAGGUUUUGACAAGAGCCUAGGUUUUGAGGGAGAAAACGGAAUGUGGCCAGAAAUGUCUCAAGAGCUGGCAAAAGGGCUGUAUUUUGCUGUUACUGAAAUCAUCCAGGAAGGAAAGGAGAACCCGAAAGUCCUAUUGGGAGCAGAGGACCCAUGAUCCAGUCGCCCCACAAAAAGGAUGAUGUGUGUUUCAACUCAGUAUUACUGAAAAUAGGAAAUACCAGGGAAACUAUUGCUGAUAUGAAUUCAUGCUGGUCUGAUAACUAGAACAGUGGUAUCGGCCAGGAAACUCUGACAUGGUUUUUCCCUUUCCUCAGCUUUUUUUUUUUAAAGGAAGAAUGUUUACUUUUCCUUUUAGGAGAUUUACGUGCCUUAGAACUUAUUAGAGCGUCGAGAGGAUACAGGGAAAAGAGGACAGCACCUGCUUUCCAUCUGGUAACAUGCCCUGCCAUGCCUCCCCGGCUGUGUUUGUGGCCACGACCUUCAUCUCUGCCUCCUUCACAAGCAGCAGAACCUGCCCUCAGGAAGAGGACCUCAUUAUAUCCGAUGAAGCUUAAAAUGAUACUCAUCUCUGGAUUUCACGCAACAUCACCAUAUGGUCCAUCUUUCCAACCCUCCAGAAAAAGGAGAUUGUCUUUAUUAUGAAGAACAGGAUUCUGUAGCCGUCCCCAGUGACGCUGACUGGGGUUAGGAAACCCAUCUGUCUCCCGCCUAAAUCCCACAGGCUCAGCUAUUCACCCAAUCCCCUCGCUGCCUUCUCAGCCAGUCGAGAGCAGCUGGAAACCAUCUCUGGAAUAUCUGAAAUGGAUGAUGAAGUCAUGCCUCAAGCGUCCCUUCUCCAAGCUGAACAGUUCUAGUUCCUUUCUCUCACCACCCCUAGCCACAUCUUUAUGGCUCUCUGUGGACCCCUCUUCAAGUGAAUGGUUGUAAAAGAGAAAUUUUACAGGUCACUGUAUCCUGACACUUGAUGGUCUCUGUGUGA